rnacentral:rRNA from 1 species
UGGGGAAUAUUGCACAAUGGGGGAAACCCUGAUGCAGCGAUGCCGCGUGGAGGAAGAAGGUUUUCGGAUUGUAAACUCCUGUCUUAAAGGACGAUAAUGACGGUACUUUAGGAGGAAGCUCCGGCUAACUACGUGCCAGCAGCCGCGGUAAUACGUAGGGAGCGAGCGUUGUCCGGAAUUACUGGGUGUAAAGGGAGCGUAGGCGGGAGUGCAAGUCAGGUGUGAAAACUAUGGGCUCAACCCAUAGACUGCACUUGAAACUGCAUUUCUUGAGUGAAGUAGAGGUAAGCGGAAUUCCUGGUGUAGCGGUGAAAUGCGUAGAUAUCAGGAGGAACACCGGUGGCGAAGGCGGCUUACUGGGCUUUUACUGACGCUGAGGCUCGAAAGCGUGGGGAGCAAACAGG